AAUCAACGCUGGCGGCGUGCCUAACACAUGCAAGUCGAACGCGAAAGUCCCGCAAGGGAUUAGUAGAGUGGCAAACGGGUGAGUAACACGUGGGUGACCUGCCUUCGAGCGGGGGAUAACGUUCCGAAAGGAACGCUAAUACCGCAUAACAUCCUGCCUUUUAAGAGGUGGAGAUCAAAGCCGGGGGAUUCGCAAGAACCUGGCACUUGAAGAGGGGCCCGCGCCUGAUUAGCUAGUUGGGGGGUAAUGGCCUACCAAGGCAACGAUCAGUAUCCGGCCUGAGAGGGCGGACGGACACACUGGGACUGAGACACGGCCCAGACUCCUACGGGAGGCAGCAGUGGGGAAUUGUUCGCAAUGGGCGCAAGCCUGACGACGCAA
rnacentral:rRNA from 1 species